UCCUCCUUAGCUCAGUUGGUUAGAGCAUCUGACUGUUAAUAAGAGGGUCCUUGGUUCGAGUCCAAGAGGGGGAG
rnacentral:tRNA from 1 species